UCUGGCUUAACAUAUAGUUAAUGUGAAAGAUUGUAAAUCUUUUAAAAGCUUAUAGAAA
rnacentral:tRNA from 1 species